ensembl:lncRNA
CUUACCGGUCAAUGCGAUUCAAAAAGGGAACCCGGGCAGGAUGUUAUCCGCGGUUUUCUUUCCAAGUUAGUGCAACUAGAUCGGUACUGUGUGCUUUAUUAGUAGUAAGAAGUUCACACAUAACUUUUGUUCGGAUCACAGAAACACUGUAUUUUCUGGGUGGAAAGCACAGAAAUAUAAACAGUAAAACAGAAACCAUCAUUGAUCCCACAGUUCCUACCGGCUUCAGUAUUUACCUUCUUUGAUAUUCAUAUUGCACCCGCUUGCUGAUCUAAUCGGUAAGUUUAGAUGUUGAACCUCUCUGACUAAAUGAAAGCAAUCCCUUUGUGAAGCUCUCCCCCUCCCCCCUUUUAAACCUGAUUGUCUCUGAGCACCAAAGUUUGGGUGUCUGGACCUUGCUGCCUUCUCAGGCCCCGGGGGUCCCCUUUGUAGUGGGUGGUGUUUUCCAUGCCUUCUGCAGGCCGGAGAUGGAGAGAGAAGCCGGCAGUCAGCUAGACCACUGGCUCAGAGGAGAUUGGCUGUGGUUUGGGUUCCUUGCCUUGUAAAAAUGAAGGUAAUGAUUCUCAAUCUGCUUCUCAGGGGCACCAUAAAAAUUAAUGGGUGGUUUGCAAAGCAUUUCGACAUCCUUGCAUCGACAGCGGCUGUACUUUGAGGGGCUAGGAAGCAUUUCAUUCGUGUCCUUUGCUUUCGUCAUCAAAUAAAACAGUCUACCUCCCACCUGGUCAUCCCGACUAGGAGACGGGAGUGUCCAGUGGAGUCUGGAGAAGGUUCCCGGCUCCCUGCUCAGCACUGGCUUUCCAGGCCGAGUCCCUCAGGAAAUGGGGCUUGGGAGGCUUGGAAGGAGACAGAACCCCCUUAUCCGUCUCCCCUAUCUGCUUUAUGCACAUGGGCAGAUGCCCAGAGUGUAAGGGGGCUUUGGCAUUAAAGCCCCAGGGUUCAUAGGCCUGAUGCCGAGGCCACGCUGAUCUGAGAGGGAGCAGUUAGUUCUGGGGGAAGGACUCAGACAGUGAAAACCCUGGCUUCCUAGGCAUUUGUUUUACGGCACUCUUGUUUACCAGAUGAACAAUGACCCGCUCAGAUCUGUGGUGCCUGAGAAACUCCUGUGAGCUUUAAUUUUUUUCCUGUUGUCCCAAGACUCUGGCACCAUGCUUUAAGGAGCCUUUGAAAGCAAUUGGGAGGGACUCGGAUCAUUUGUUAAUUUCAGAUACUAAAAGCUGGAGCCGGAGCCAUCUGAGGUGCCACACAGGUUGGCUUUUGUUCCCCUGGCAAAGCAGCCGUGACGGAAGCGCCUCUCUGUGUAGCAGGUCUGGAGGGUUCCAGUUUGUCAUUUGAUAGUUUCAUUUUUUUUUUAAUUGUCACUCCCACCAACACUUUGUUCUGCCCAAGGGCUAGGAGCUGAGCACAGUCCAGACACAGGGGGCUUUCCGGAAGGACCCAGAAAGUGGGCUGGACGAGUUACUGAUAAGUAUCCUUCCAGGCUCCUGGACUCUUAGUGUUGUGCCCGGAAUGUUCUCUGAGUUAGGAGGAAGGGGGAGUCCUGGAUUUUCUCCUGUGCUGUUUGCUAACUCAAUUUCUAGUCACCCAGCGGCCUGGAAUUGUUUCCCUGCAGGCUGCUUCAACAGACUUUUUUCUCAUUCUAAUGGUACUGGUGUGAUAAUAAGAUAUGCUAAUAGGAACGAGGUUGACGCCCCUGGGUCCUGGGAGGCCGCUCCCCUGUUUAAAUCCUGGCUUCCGGGCCAGUUAAGUGUGGGAAGGAUGUGUGCGCUUCCUUCUUGCAAGGCAGGAGGCCACCUGGCUUCCCUCAGCUUCUUAGGGGAGCCCUUGGCCCGAACAAGGUGAGAAGCCACUUCACUGGGCCCUGGCUGACCUUACCCCAGCUGGGGGCAAACCACCGUGGCUCCCUGUUUGAGGAAACAGGCUUGUGUGUGCCUUGUGGGGUUGGGGCCAGCCACGUGGGUUUUCUUUAGCUUGGUUCUUUUCAAAUUCAACACCUGAAUUGGGCCACGUUGCAAUUUUUCUCCUGAGAAUUGGAGUCAGUCCCCUGAGAUGUGUUUCCUAAGGCCCUGGAGAUGAGCACUGGGACUGCUUUGUCCUGAGGGCACCGCCUGACAGCCAGGAACUGGGCAGCUAAAUAGACUUUACCCUGACCUCAGGGCCAGGAGGGGAGCCCGGAGCAGUCCAGUGUUGACACUCAGCUUUCUGCAAGCUGGAUCCUGCCUCCCCGCUGCUUGCACAAUAGAAGCCCCUCAUUCUGCCUUCACCCUCCAGGGAGAGAGUGACAGAAAAAAUAAUUCAGCAAGCCCCUAAACACCCAGCUACUUACCAGGGUCUUCCAGGAAGCCUGAGCCUGCUUCUCCAUGGGCCCUGCGGGCAUCGUGUGUUACUGGACAGCAUCUGAUGCAUUCAGGACCAGAGUCUGGGGGAAGGAUGUUGAUACAAGAGUGUGUGAUGUGAUUCUAGGAAGGGUGAAAUUCUUUACAGUUCAUCACUGCCUCCCAUCUGCCAAGUGUACAAAAUAUCUUCCCAAACCACUGGUAAGCAAAUAUGGACUUGUAAGUUGAGAUUUGGGGUGUUGUAAUGUGGAUCCCUUGGGCUUCCCAGAUGGCACGGUGGUAAAGAAUCUGCCUGCCAAUGCAGGAGACACAGGUUCGAUCCCUGGGUGCCAUCUCUGGGUCAGGAAGAUCCCCCUGGAGGAGGAAACGGCAACCCACUCCAAUAUUCUCACCUGGGAGAUUGCGUGGAUGGAGAAGCCUGGCACGCUACAGUCCAUGGGAUCACAGAGCCGGACACACCUGAGCACAAAACAGGGAUUGCUUGCUAAGGGUUUGUGAUGGACCUGAUCCAGCAUGCAGACUUUAAAAUCCUCACAGAAACUGUGAGGGUUUCCCUUUUACAGGAAAACUACCAGAACUGAAGUCGCUCCUCCAGCCUUAUUGUCCAGUAAGUACUCGAGCUGGGAUUUAAACCCGUACCUGCCUGAAUCCAGAGCUCUUCAUCACAUCUCCCCGCGUGCCUAAAUGAAAGAAACAAGUCACACCUUCGGGAGCGUGAAGACACAGGCAUGGAAAUAGCAGAGUGCCUACCUCCUUUAGACAGUGAUAACAAAAAGGUGGUGAAAUCUUCAAAACCUGAGAAAUCUUUGCAGCCUAAAUGGAAGGCAAUGCGUUUGCACCUUUGUCCCCCAGAGGGCCAUGCCCUUGCACCCUGUCUACAAGGUAAAGUUUGAGGUAUUUGGAAGAUGGUGAUUUUGAAGUUGGGGACAGCUCAGAAUCUGCUCUGAAGUUUGUCCUUGUACCAUGAAAAGAGGGUAUUCUGGGCAGAUGGGGUCACUAGAAUAAGAUUAAGAUUAUAGGAAGGCUGUUGAGUAAAUGUAAGAUAAGUUCCACCUUCCACUGUACAAUCAAAUAAAGGAGACACUAAUGAGAUUAGUCUUAUCUGCUCCAUGAAGCCUCGUCUUCAGGGAACUCUGAGCUGAUGCCUGGUAGUCCAGCUCUUCUGAACCAAUUGAAAAGAAUCCUUUCCGUGAAAGAGUUUUUGUGGUUCCAAAUUCUUAUUAAAUCACCUUCUCCACUCUCCCGCCCCUUCCCUGUUCUCCCAGCCUGCUUCACUGAGGAAAACGCUGCCCCAUUCUCAUGAAACAGGGAAGCUUGCUAAGGUCUGCAGGCAUAAAAGGAAUUUAAAUGUUUCCUUGGUCUCUGAGCCUGAAGUGUGCUGGUCAGCUUGCUCUCAGGGGAGAAACAAAGAGCCUUGAUGCAAGCAUCUGCCAACUGCCCUCGUGUACAUCCUGCCUCCAUGGCUGAGUUCAAGCUGCCAGUUGGGUCUGGCAAUAUUAUUAUGAAGUAUCUGAAGAUCUGUGUAGCCAGGAAGAGUGGGCUCCAGCUUGCCUUUCAUUGCACUGAGCUCACCAGCCCAGCCCCCUUGUACAAUGGGUGAAAUGGUUACCUGGCUUCUGCUUGGACCAUGGCUGCCCGGGAGCUAUAUGUUCUGAAAGGAUUUGGAUGUCGCUCAGUAGCCUAAUUUGACCAUCAGGAGCCGAGUGCUUCUAAACUCAAGGCUCCUAUGUGUAUGCGUGUGCACACAGUCAUGUCCCUGUGGACUGUAGCCUACCAGGCUCCUCUGUCCAUGGCAGUUCUCCAGUGUUCUUGCCUGGAGAAUCCCAGGGAUGGCGGAGCCUGGUGGGCUGCCGUCUAUGGGGUCGUACAGAGUCAGACACGACUGAAGCGACUUAGAAGCAGCAGCAGUGGAAUCAGCAGUCUGAUGUGUGUCCAGGAUUGAACUCCACCAAGGUAGGGAAUUUGUAUAAGAAGGAAACUAGGGACUAGGAGUGGUCAACUCUGUUUUUGAAACCAAGGAGUUGAACCGUGUGGAGUAAGGGAGACAGAGCUGGCAUCCACAGGGCCUUCCUAGGAUCGUACGAGGGGAGAAGGGAGAAACUCGAUGGCUGAGGGCCCUUUAAGAGUCUGAGCUUGGUUGCACAUAAGCUGAUUACUUUUUCGCUAUCAUAAUUAGCAGUCAAAUUAUUUAAAAUGUAAGUGCUUCCUUGAGAGGCAGCAAGCGCGUGGGAAGGAGAUGGGCUGAGCCAGGCUUGUGAGCAGCUUGGGACCAGGAAGGGGCCACCAGGCCUGAGACGCAGGCUCAAGGAGACAUCUGUCUCGUGUGAUACAAACGCAGGGUCAGGGAGCGGCUGUGUGAGAGGGGCUGGCUGGAGGCUCACUUCCUUAGAGUCGAACCAUCACCCUGGAAGAGCUCACUGCAGACUUGAGUGGGGAGCAGGCCUGGGAGCACCCCUCUCAGUCACUCCAUGAUGACAAGGCACCCAGGAGGAGGUUGGGAUGUGGAGGAAGGGGUCUGGGAGCCCAGCACAAACAGGACAAUUCUGGGUCAUGAAUGAUCAGAGAAGUAACACCUGGAAGACCAGGGGCCCCUGGUUUGGUUUGUUAGGACCGUGUGAUUGUGCUCCUGAGGAAGAUUCUAGAAAACCAAGGACGAGACAUGUAGCCCACAGACACUGAGUGUUAGUGUCAUUUGAGGAUGUCAAGGCAGGAAGGACCUGGAAUUAUGUCAGAG